UCAUAAGGCAAAUGACAAAGUCCAGUAAACCACUGAGAUGAAGACAAUCACACUAUAAAAUGACAAGACACAAUACAAAAUUUAUCUUUGACAGCUUCAGCUCUAUGUGUCUCUAUGUUUCUUUCCUUAUUGUAAGCAAGCCCUGAAGUUUAACAGGUCCAUUGCAGCAGCAGUUAUUUUGCUUGUUCAUUUCAUUUGUCCUUGCCCCAGAGAAAACAGUAGAUAAAGCCUCUGGCCUGCCAAUCUACUCACUACAUCUGUAAAAGACAGCCCUAUUGAUUUCCCAAGGUUGUGAGAGAGCCAACAGAUUUAUACCAAACAAAGCCAACACCAAAAUACCAAUGAAGGGGCAAGAAGAAGAAAUGAAACAACUGACAUGACAGUUGGAUGUUGAGAAGAACAUAAUAGAUAAGUGAGUAACAACAUUUUAAAAAAAAGGAAAACAUAUAUUUCACAGUAGUACCUAACACUAUGAAACUCUGGUAAGAUGUACAAGAAGGUCAAGUUCUCUGAAGUUGGUACGUAUGUGUGUUAGCUUCAAGAUGAAUAAUUUAAAAAAAAAAGUAAAAUUCAGUGCAAAUGUAAAUCCCGCUUGCUCAGCUGAAACAUAGAGUAGGCUUUUUCCUCCCAGUACCCCAGAGAAAGAAUAAGCAAACAAAACAGUCCUUUUUCCCUUGGAGAAGAGAAAGAUUACAGUUGUUUUAAAAAAAAAAAAAAUUGAGAAAAAGGAGGGGGGGAGUCUGGGAAGUAGUGACACAGGGUCCUAAAAGGAAAAAAAAAAAAAAAAAAAAAAAAACAGAAAAGAAAAACUGUAAACUGCAGGCACCCCCCCCCCCCCCCAAAAAAAGAAGAAACCAAAAAACCUUUUAGAUGCCAAGUCCAAAUGAAAUCAACUUCCAUGGGAAUUAAAUGCCUAAAUACCUUUAUAGAUCUGUUUCCUCACUGCUUGUCCUAGAAAAUCAGGAAACCAAAGAGAAGUGUGACCAGCGUGGAAAAAACAGACGAUUCGCUCCAGCUGUACCCCAAAUUUCAUCAAUGGAGCACAACGAGGAAGCACCCAAAACUUGUUAACCGCACGGGGAACUGGAAAACACUGUAACCGAAAGAUGAAAAAAGAAAAUAUGUGUUUAGAAAAUACCUGCUCUCUGCUCGUUGGCUUCAGUAGUGUACAAGAUUCCCAUGCCGCUGCAGCUAGGAACCAAGAAGAUGGCCUGAGGAUAGCUGUACUUUCAACAGCAAUAAGCUGAAGCCCUUUCACGCUCUGCAGUGGACUACGGACCCUACAACACAAUUUCAUGAUCCUGUCAUAGAGCCUGCUGGGGCAUACGGGGGCAAACAAAGGUUGCAAAGUCAACCUCAGCACUGGUAUUUCCCAGCUCGUUUGUUUGCCUUUUAAUAGCAAGGUCCUGGAAAUACAAGUUUGAAUUUUCAAGAUA